UACGGAGGGAGCUAGCGUUGUUCGGAAUUAAUGGGCGUAAAGCGCACGUAGGCGGCUACUCAAGUCAGAGGUGAAAGCCCGGGGCUCCACCCCGGAACUGCCUUUGAAACUAGGUGUCUAGAAUCUUGUAGAGGUCAGUGCAAUUCCGAGUGUAGAGGGGAAAUUCGUAGAUAUUCGGAAGAACACCAGUGGGGAAGGCGAGUGACUGUACAAGUAUUUACGCCGGGUUGCCCAACCGUCGGGACCAAUCAGC
rnacentral:rRNA from 1 species